UACGUAGGCAGCAAGCGUUGUUCGGAAUUACUGGGCGUAAAGGGCUCGUAGGCGGCCAACUAAGUCAGACGUGAAAUCCCUCGGCUUAACCGGGGAACUGCGUCUGAUACUGGAUGGCUGGAGUUUGGGAGAGGGAUGCGGAAUUCCAGGUGUAGCGGUGAAAUGCGUAGAUAUCUGGAGGAACACCGGUGGCGAAGGCGGCAACCUGGGCCAACACUGACGCUGAAGAGCGAAAGCCAGGGGAGCAAACGGG
rnacentral:rRNA from 1 species